rnacentral:rRNA from 1 species
CACGUAGGAGGCGAGCGUUGUCCGGAAUCAUUGGGCGUAAAGAGCGUGUAGGCGGCCCGGUAAGUCCGCUGUGAAAGUCCAGGGCUCAACCCUGGGAUGCCGGUGGAUACUGUCGGGCUCGAGUCCGGAAGAGGAGUGUGGAAUUCCUGGUGUAGCGGUGAAAUGCGCAGAUAUCAGGAGGAACACCAAUGGCGAAGGCAGCACUCUGGGACGUGACUGACGCUGAGACGCGAAAGCGUGGGGAGCAAACAGG